rnacentral:rRNA from 1 species
AAAUGAAUAGACGGGGGCCCGCACAAGCAGCGGAGCAUGUGGUUUAAUUCGAAGCAACGCGAAGAACCUUACCAGGGCUUGACAUCCCUCUGACAGGAGUAGAGAUACUCACUUCCUACGGGACAGAGGAGACAGGUGGUGCAUGGUUGUCGUCAGCUCGUGUCGUGAGAUGUUGGGUUAAGUCCCGCAACGAGCGCAACCCCUAUCAUUAGUUGCCAGCGGAGAGAUGGGCACUCUAAUGAGACCGCCGGGGAUAACUCGGAGGAAGGUGGGGAUGACGUCAAAUCAUCAUGCCCCUUAUGUCCUGGGCUACACACGUGCUACAAUGGCCAGAAACAAAGGGAAGCGAAGCGGCAACGUGGAGCAAAUCCCAUAAAGCUGGUCUCAGUUCGGAUUGUGGGCUGCAACUCGCCCACAUGAAGACGGAGUUGCUAGUAAUCGCGAAUCAGCAUGUCGCGGUGAAUACGUUCCCGGGCCUUGUACACACCGCCCGU